UUGGCUCACACCGUCCCUUAUGCCACCGAAGAUGAUCAAGAGAAGAAUAUCGACCCUAGCUUCCCUGGCCUGCUGACAUCAACUCCAAAACUGGACAGAUCAUUUUUCAGGAAAAGAGCGCGGAUGAGGGUUGGGUUUUUCACGGCACGGAAAAAGGACAUGCAGCAGCAGUAGCAACGUGCAGGGGAUUGCAGGAGAAUCCUGCGACAGACUCAGGCAAAACCAGACAUCUCCUCCAAUGAAAUGUCACCACUACAGCAAUUUCACUGAAUGACCAACAGAUCGAGCCAAAUGCCAACAAAUCCCCAA